rnacentral:rRNA from 1 species
AGCAGCCGCGGUAAUUCCAGCUCCAAUAGCGUAUAUUAAAGUUGCUGCAGUUAAAAAGCUCGUAGUUGAAUUUCGGGAUCAAUAUGUUGGUCGUGCCUCGGUACGUACUGGCUUAUUGGUUUCUCCCUUCUGACGAACCAUGAUGUCAUUUAUUUGGUGUUAUGGGGAAUCAGAACUGUUACUUUGAAAAAAUUAGAGUGUUUAAAGCAGGCUCACGCUUGAAUACAUUAGCAUGGAAUAAUGAAAUAGGACGUUUGAUUCUAUUUUGUUGGUUUCUAGGAUCGACGUAAUGAUUAAUAGGGAUAGUUGGGGGCAUUAGUAUUCAAUUGUCAGAGGUGAAAUUCUUGGAUUUAUUGAAGACUAACUACUGCGAAAGCAUUUGCCAAGGAUGUUUUCAUUAAUCAAGAACGAAAGUUAGGGGAUCGAAGACGAUCAGAUACCGUCGUAGUCUUAACCAUAAACUAUGCCGACUAGGGAUCGGAUGAUGUUAAUUUUUUAAUGACUCAUUCGGCGCCUUACG